CCAUUUUAAUUGAAAAAUGUAUAUGAAGAUCUCUGGUUGACUAGACAAACAAACCAGUGAUACGUAAUAUACCGCGGAAUUUAAAGAGAACAUAAUGGUAAAACGAAAGUGUGGCUGUUGACCCCUAAUAGCCAUUCUGGCUGGGAAGUGUGUAAUGAUUACUUUGGUGCAUUUCCUGUUCACUGUCGGAGUAAAUAUAGCUACUUCUCAAAGCAGAUGGAGCUACAUGGUUUUCAUGGCCUACGAUCGCUGAGAAUCAUACAAUGGAUUUUUAUCAGACGUUCGUGGCCAAACGGAGAGUGCAAGAAGAACAAGAAACGAGACAUCAAACUGAC